ACUCCUACGGGAGGCAGCAGUGGGGAAUAUUGGACAAUGGGGGAAACCCGUGAUCCAGCAAUGCCGCGUGAGUGAUGAAGGCCUUAGGGUUGUAAAGCUCUUUUACCAGGGAUGAUAAUGACAGUACCUGGAGAAUAAGCUCCGGCUAACUCCGUGCCAGCAGCCGCGGUAAUACGGAGGGAGCUAGCGUUGUUCGGAAUUACUGGGGCGUAAAGCGCACGUAGGCGGUUACGUCAAGUCAGAGGUGAAAGCCCGGGGCUCAACCCCGGAACUGCCUUUGAAACUAGGUAACCUAGAAUCCUGGAGAGGUGAGUGGAAUUCCGAGUGUAGAGGUGAAAUUCGUAGAUAUUCGGAAGAACACCAGUGGCGAAGGCGGCUCACUGGACAGGUAUUGACGCUGAGGUGCGAAAGCGUGGGAGCAAACAGGAUUAGAUACCCUGGUAGGAUAGCG
rnacentral:rRNA from 1 species